GAGUCUGGAAUGAAAGGAUUUAUGGGGAAACGCUGUUUCAAGUAUAUAGUAUUAAAUUUAUUUAAAAAGUGAAAAUACUUUUUUAUAGAAAAAAGACGAGAAGACCCUAAGAAUUUUUAGAAAAUUAUAAUAAUUUUUUUUCUUUUUGUUGGGGCGACAAUUAAGCAAUAAUAUUAACCUUAAUUAUUUAUUUAAUCGGUUAUUUCAGUAAAAAUUAAAUUACCUUAGGGAUAACAGCAUAAUUUUUUAAAGUUUGUGACCUCGAUGUUGGACUAGGAACUUUAUAACUAGCAGUUAAAAGAGAUUGUUCUGUUCGAACAAUAUUUUCCUACAUGAUCUGAGUUCAAACCGGA
rnacentral:rRNA from 1 species